rnacentral:lncRNA from 1 species
GGGAAACCCAAAAAGAGAGGACAUUUUCAAAAUUAGAGCCACACUUUUGUGUUUAGGAGGAACAAGGAAAACGUUGACAAAAUCGAGAGCUUGGAAGUUCUGAUGGAUCGGGCAGUUGUAGUUGGGCAGUCGUGGGUGUGUGAGAGUAGUGGUUCAGCAAGUCCUUAGACUUCUUAGUUAGAAUCAUCUUGAACUCUUAACUUGAGAGCAUUGUGAAAUGUCUUUUCCUAUACUGUAAGAAAUUACGUUAAUCUCUGGUCCGAUAUGAACUUCCGAUUCGCAUUGUGCAAAUUGUACUCAUCUUCGGUUCGCGUGUGAAAUCUUGAAUGAAAAUGUUUAGUGUUGAGCCCCGCGUGUGAAAAAGUUGUAAUUGACGUGCGCUACUAUCAGUUUGGUUCGUGUUUUAUAUUUUAUUUCAAUAAUUUCAUUCAAUUUAUUUUUUUUUGCGAGUGAAAGCGAUAAAGUCAAUAGUUGGACAACCCUGCCCUCCGCUAGUUUCUAUUUGCCGAAAGUUCGGACUGCAUGCACGGAACUGAAGGAUACCCUACAUAAGGACAUUGUUUAAGUCAACAUUUUUUGGUCUCUCCAACAUCAUUCGACAAGGCGAUGCACGAAGACGGAAUAUGGUUACUCUGCGCACCAGAGCCGUUCCUGAAUUCUCAGAUCAUCCCUUCAUCAUGUCAAUAUUUGGUGGUCUCUCCAACAUUCGUCGAGGCUGUGCACGAAGACGGAAAGUUUUCGCUUUGCAUCAGAGCUUUUCCUGAAUAACGGAUCAUCGCUUCAUCACGGUAAAAUCUUUACAACUCCUUCCUACUCUCAGAAGUAAUUGCGAACAACUCUAACAUUUGCCUAUUCUCUCCAUUUUCAAAGUGAGCUGUUGCAGUAUCCUUCCUCUCCACUGCAAAAUUGCCUUUAAUUAUAGGUAAUUUUACCAAAUAUUUUGAUGAUUUGUCCAUUCAAAACUGUACGAUUGCCCCUUGUUGCCGUUACACCAAUUUUUUCCGGAGGAAUAUACUUUAUCUUGCUGCAACUGCAAAUGCUGGUUUUUCGCAUUCGCUUUUGUAGCGUCCAUUCAAAUAUAAUUUGAUAUACGCUGUCAGUCUGUGCAUACGCACUCGAAAGACUAAGUUUAUCUUUUCUGGUAGUCUCAGAAACAUGUAGUAAUUUUAAAAUAUAGGUCCAUUGUCUCUCAUCAAAAUAUUUUUAUCUUGUGAACGAAGCGUCCUGGAUUCGGGCUUUCCGAUAUCCCUCUGCGGAUGGAAGACGAGUCCCGGACUUUCAAGCGGGUUUCUUGGCAGAAUAAGGCAGAUUUCGCUAUUCUUUUUCAUCAUAGAAGGAAUAAUUUUUCGUUUUCACCUUUUCGAAGCACAGCCUGCUUCAAAAUUGAUUCCAUCUUAAUUUUAUUAAUUUUGUAUUAAGCAUUCACUAUUCCGGAAAACCAGAGGUGUUUUAUUACUGAGUGUCCCGUUAUUUUUUAAUGCAGUAGUAAUUUAGAAAGGGUUUCGGGGGGGGGGGGGGUGCAGACUCUAUUGAAUGCUUGUAGAGUGCAGUCUGCAGGGGGUCUGUUUUCUCAUAAUUUUACAAUUCGAACAAUUACAAUUACAAUUCGAAGUAAAGUGGUAGUCAAUAACUCUCAUGUAAUUACCAUCGUUGAGACACGAAUGAAGAGAUGAAAAAGAAAGUAAGAAGAGAUGAAAAGGUGAUGAAAAGGGGAUGAAAAGGGGAUGAAAUGUAUAGAGGGGAUGAAAAGAAGAGGGGAUGAAAAGAAGAGAGGAUGAAAUGUAAUAGAGAUGAAAAGGAGGUGUAAUGUAAAAGAGAUGAAGAAGAGAUGAAGGAGAGAUGAAGGAGAGAUGAAGGAGAGAUGAAGGAGAGAUGAAGGAGAGAUGAAGGAGAGAUGAAGGAGAGAUGAAGGAGAGAUGAAGGAGAGAUGAAGGAGAGAUGAAGGAGAGAUGAAGGAGAGAUGAGGAGAGAUGAAGGAGAGAUGAAGGAGAGAUGAAGGAGAGAUGAAGGAGAG